GUCUGAGUUCAGUGGUUAAGAUGUCAGACUACUGAUCAGAAGGUCAUAAGUUCAAACCCCAGCUCUGCCA